UACGUAGGGUGCGAGCGUUAAUCGGAAUUACUGGGCGUAAAGCGUGCGCAGGCGGUUCGUUGUGUCGGCGGUGAAAGCCCCGGGCUUAACCUGGGAAUGGCCGUUGAAACUGGCGAACUGGAGUGUGGCAGAGGGGGGUGGAAUUUCGCGUGUAGCAGUGAAAUGCGUAGAGAUGCGGAGGAACACCGAUGGCGAAGGCAAUCCCCUGGGCCUGCACUGACGCUCAUGCACGAAAGCGUGGGGAGCAAACAGG
rnacentral:rRNA from 1 species